rnacentral:lncRNA from 1 species
UUGCAUCCUGGUAGUUAGGAUGGUAUAUGUUAAAGACCUGGUUAAGGUCGGUAUCCUGGUAUGUAGGAUGAUUCUAUGCUAGUGACUAGUUAGGUCGAUAUCCUGGUUAUGAUGAUGUUGUGUUAUGUAAUCUACUAGAUCGGUUUGAUUGGAUGCGAGUUGUUAUAUGAUUGAAUGUUUAUGUGCACAUGGCUGUUGGAUUGGGGUUGGGUUGAGGCGGGUCCUACUUUGUGUUGUAGGCCAACAUACCCAGGGUGGACCGGUUGUCCCAAAGGCCUAACGAGCGGUCCGGAUAGGCUGUAUGUAACAACCCGUUAUUUCCAGGCAUUAUAAACCGAGUCUUGNNNNNNNNNNNNNNNNNNNNNNNNNNNNNNNNNNNNNNNNNNNNNNNNNNNNNNNNNNNNNNNNNNNNNNNNNNNNNNNNNNNNNNNNNNNNNNNNNNNNGCAUUUUGUUUGAUAGUGGAGCGGAAAGGAGUUUUGUGAGUCACCCCAGAUUCAAGGGCAUGUUCGGGACUUCGAUAAUAUGAAGCCUCAUACCUUCGAUGGGGUGCAGGACCCGAUUGUUGCUAUGAAAUGGUUGUCGGAUGUGGAGGGGUGUUUCUUCACGUGUUCAUGCCCUGCUGAUCAGAGGGUGAGGUGUGCUCUGAACCUGUUGAGGCUCGGGGAGAAGGAUUGGUGGAGAUUGACUACGGGGUCAUUUUCGGAUGCGCAGAGAGCUACGGUUUCAUGGGAUCAGUUUCAGGAGAUGUUCAGCACUCUUUAUGUUCAACGGGUUGAGAGGGAGAGAUUGGCUCAGGAGUUCCUUGAGCUGAAGCAGGAUUCGAAGUCGAUGACGGAGAUCACUAGGAUGUUCACUGAGUGGGUGAUGUUUUGCCCUGAGUUCGCUUUGGAGCAGGCUCAGAUGUCCCGAUAUCUGAGUAUGCUCAAGAGGGAUAUCAGGCAGUUUGUGUCUACGCAGAGGUGUGAGACCUUUUUAGAGUUGCAAGAGGCCGCCAGGUGGCGUGAGUUGGAGAUUGAGUUGCAGUUGCGAGAGCAGAGGCAGGCUCCGGUGCAGUCGUAGUCGGCGCCGAAACGGUCCAAGACCGUUGAUUCUAGAUUGGGAGAUCAGAGCAGCCACACUUGUGGGAAGUGUGGGAAGGGUCACACCGGAGUUUGUAGGUCCAUUGGUGCAUGCCGCAAGUGCGGAAAGGAGGGACCCUAUGCGAGGGAUUGUCGGCAGGCAGCCCCAGGUCGGAAUUUGAGGAUUUGUUAUAAUUGUCAUCAGGUUGGACACUUGAGGGUCAACUGUCCACAGCUUGCUGCAGGUCUGGUGCAGGCUCCAGCACCGGCCACAUUGAGGAUCACGGGGGGAGUGGAGCCCCCAAGGGCUCAGGGUCGUGCUUUUCAGCUUACAACAGAGGAGGUCAGGGUAGUGCCAGAUGCAACUGCAGGUAUCUUUCUUUCUUGAUGUCUUGUUAUCUUAUGAUUUUUGUGGAGUAAUUUUUAUCUGCUAGUCUCGUUGUGUGGUUUUCGGUAUUGUAUUCGUUGUUCUUUGAGGGUUAUGGUAUGAUUAUGGGCUUAGUGUUGAGAAUUUCGUUGGUUAUCAUUCAUGAGGGGCAUUAGUGGGAAUCUACCGUUUGGUCUGAAUAUCGGGCAACAUCUGCAGUCUGAGGAAGGGUUAGCUGAAGGUUGGGUUUCUUUCAAGCCGAGAUGAUCCGUUUUGAAAUGUGAUUUUGUGAAGGUUGCUCGUUCUAGUGGGAAGAAGUUCGUGUGCAAGGGAUGGUGUUGUGUAAGGUUGAUAAGCGAGGUCGGUGAUGGCGACCGGUGGUUGAUAGUCAGUGCUCUAAGUAGGGGAGAAUUGGAAAAUUCUCCGGAAGAUCGAUGGGCAUGAGAGGUUGUUUAGCUGCUUGAGAUUCAACAGUGUUUCUGUCAUCCAAGAGCGUAGGCUGGUAUGAGUAAGUGGCAGGCAUGCAGGGCGAGAUAUAGACCAAGGGUGAUUGAUUGUGGAAGGCCUGAGAUCGGGCCGGGUUUGAGUAUGUAGGAUGGAGAUAGAGUUCGGAACCCCUAGAGGGCUAGAACAGUAACCAUGGGAGAGUUUCCCGGAGGAAUGACUCGGAAUGAUGAAUGCUAGAUGAGUGGUCCGGAUAGACUGAAGACCGGUAGGCAUACCAGUCAGGCCGAAGGCUCGGAGAACAGUCCAGCCAGGCUGAAGGCCCUGGUGGGCGGUCCAGAUCUACUGAAGGUUCCGAGAGUGGUCCAGAUUGGCUAAAGGCCUGGUAAGGCAGUCCAGUCAUGCUGAAGACUCUGCAUGUGUUGAUAGAUCGGUAUGAGGAAAUGGAUUGAGUAUGUCGCGAUGUGUUAGCGUCAAAAGGUCUGGCCAUGGGUACUGAUCGUGGUGGGUGGAAGGUAGAGCAUGGACUUGAGAGUUCUUGCGAGCGGAUCCAGAGCAUGUAUGGUUAAUAGGAUAGUGGUUAUUCUAUAAGAGAAUGAUGUAGUAUUGGGUGAGCAUCGUGGCACUUAUGGUAGUGUCAAGGCAGCCAAGUGGAUUUCCAUGGUAAAGGAAAGGAAAGGAAUGUAGCUCCGAGAGGGAGUGUAAGCUCAUGGAAGUGAAAGCAGUAGUGCAAAAUUAUGAUUGGGGUAUUCCAAUCAUGGUUGAUGAGCAGUGUGUCUGCAGCUGUGGUAUGGAAUCACAUUCAGGUUGGAUGUUGCUGAGACUCGGAAGGAAUGCAGGGAUGGAAUCUUGGAUUUCCAGUUUCAUUUUGAAUUAUGUGGUGGAAAUUCAUCCUGGGGGAAUGUUGGGAGGUGUCGUCAGUGUAUCGGGUUUUCCCAACCCAAAGAUGCUAGAGCCAGUUUAGCAUGGGUAUGAGAUUGCGGUGGAGAACUCAUGGGAGUUGCUCUGAGGCUGAAGGAUGUAUCAUCCUGUCAGCAUGGAGUGGAUAAAGUUGGGCUCAGACCGGGAAUUCUGGUGGUUCAUGGUUAUUUCUAGCUCGUAUGAGUCGAGUGAUUGUUGUGUUUUGGAGUGAGUGAAGUAUCAGGGAGUGGUGCUUAGUUGAUAAGUGUGGUUAUCAGAGGAUGGGGCCGGUGGCCGUCUUGAAGCGGUGGUCAGAACACCGCGGGGAGAAAAAUUGGGUUUUGGGUUUCAGUGGUUGUGCAUUGAGGAACCUGGUCUGGUUAAUGCCAGGUGGUGCAUUACGGGAGUAGUUCUGGAGUUGUGUUGCUGCAGGCUUCAAGGACGAAGCCUAAUUUAAGUGGGGGAGAAUUGUAACAUCUCGAGCUCAGGAAUGCAAGUUCAGGGUUCAAAGUGUAAAUUUGGAACGGCAACUCGGUGAGUCCAUGGAUGGACUUGACGAGUAGGGUCGCGACUCUGGUCGCGUGUUCAGUGACCAACUCGGCGAGUAGCAUGGGUGGACUCGGCGAGUUGGUGCUAAGUGGAGAAAACCCUAAUUCCGGGGGUUGAGGCAUAUAUAAAGAACAUAACACUUCUUCCCCAGCCUCUUUACCUUCCCUUUGAGUUCCAGAAACCCUAAAUUUGUGUGAGCUUUCCUUGGUGAGAGAUUAGAGCCUUGGAGGAGGUAACCUUGGAAGGAAAUUGAAGAGCAAGAAGAUUGGAGCAAGGGGCUUUGCAGAGAAUUGGCUCAUUCGUCAGCGGGAGCCUUCAUUUGAGGUAAUAAUCCUCUGUUUAAGCUUUUGUGCAUCUAGAUCUAUCAUUUGUGGGGGGGUUUUGGGGUAUAAAUGAGGUCCUUCUCAAGUUUGGUGUAAGAUCUGAGGUUGCUACCUCAGAUAUAGGUUGCUAAUGAUCCAAAAAGCCAUAAAGUCUAUACUCAAGAGUUGUUGGUGAAGUUCUUUUGUACCAAACCCAAACCCUAGAGUGUAACAUGCUUAGAUCUACUUGGAUUCACGUAAAGUUUGCCACUUUACAUGAUGGAUGGCUUGUAGAAGGGUAGAUCCACGGUUUAGAACUUCUUCAUGGCUUGGAAAGCCUCUGUAUGGUUUCAGAUCUAAGGGUACUCGGCGAGUCACAAGGAUGUACUCGGCGAGUUUCUUAAAGAAAGGCUGUAACUCGACGAGUUGGAAGAACAAAUCGGCGAGUUGGAUGAAGAUAAGCAAGGACUCGACGAGUUAAAAGAACAACUCGGUGAGCCUGUUGAAGAUAGCCUUGGACUCAGCGAGUCUGUUCUUGGACUCGGCGAGUCUGGUCGUGAGGCCCUAACCUUUCUUCUGGUUGAGCUGUGAAUCGGUGAGUCAAGGGAUGACUCAGUGAGUCGAGUGUAAAAGGACUCAGGGUUGUGGAACUCGGCGAGGCUCGGGGUGACUCGGUGAGUUGAGUCACGGAUUGGGGAAGUUCUGUGCAUGAGGACUCGGCGAGUCAUCGGGUUGACUCGGUGAGUAGAGUCAUUCAGGGGUUGACUUUGACUUUGACUUUGACCAAGGGUUCACCAGUUGAUUCACAGGGGCAUUUUUGUAAUUGUUGGCUUUUGUUUUGAGUUUAGUGUUUUGGUGUUAACCAGUGGUGGUGAUCGCAUCAGUGGUCAGAGCAACUGGGGUUUAUCUGUUCAGCCGGUAGUUGCGAGGUGAGUUAUCCUCACUAUAUCAACAAGGUCUAAGGCACCAAGGCCGACCCUUUGUCGGAUUGUAAUCCGGGUAUUGCUGUUAUGUUAUUGUGUUUGCUAUGUUGCAUCCUGGUAGUUAGGAUGGUAUAUGUUAGAGACCUGGUUAAGGUCGGUAUCCUGGUAUGUAGGAUGAUGCUAUGCUAGUGACCGGUUAGGUCGAUAUCCUGGUUAGGAUGAUGUUGUGUUAUGUGAUCUGCUAGAUCGGUUUGAUUGGAUGCGAGUUGUUAUAUGAUUGAAUGUUUAUGUGCAGAUGGUUGUUGGACUAGGGUUGGGUUGAGGCGGGUCCUGCAUUGUGUUGUAGGACAACAUACCCAGGGCGGACCAGUUGUCCCGAAGGCCCAACGAGCGGUCUGGAUAGGCUGUAGGCCCCAAGAGUGAGGACGAGACGUGUCAAGGCUCGGAGAGUGGAUUAGACCGACUAAAGGCCCGGCGCGGGCGAACCAGUCAUACUGUAGACUCAGAGAGUGGACCAGGUGGAUUGAAGGCCCGGCGCGGGCGGACCAAUCACACUGUAGACUCAAUGUAUAUGGCUAGACUCAGAGGGUGGACCAGGUGGACUGUUGGCCGGUGCGGCGGACCAGUCUCACAGUAGACCCGAAGGGCAUGGCUGUUCUAUGUUCUGUUAUGAUAUGGCAUGAUGUGCGUGUAUGGUAUAUAUGGUUGGUAUUUUGGGGGUAUCUCACUAAGCUUUCAGGCUUACAGUUGUGGUUUAAUGUUUUUUUCAGAUUCUUCAGGAGACUGUGGCAAGGGAAAGGCGUGAUCGUACCGUUUCUCAUGAUUAUGUUUUAUGUUGUGGUUGUAGGAAGACUUUGACAAUAAUUGUAUUAAAAACCUUUUUGUAAUAACUUUAUGAAACUGGGUACGUUGUUCUCAAAAAGUUUAAAUUGGUUGAAAUUUUUAAAGCAUUACUAAAAUAGGUAAAAAUCCCAAAAAUCCGCCUGUCUGACAGCUAAACUCGCCUAGUCCCCUUAUGGACUCGUCGAGUUCACCAUACUCGACGAGUCCACGUUGGAACUCGAUGAGUUUGGCUGGCAAAUGGCCAAAAACUCGAUCUUGCACCAUGAAUGAAUGUAUUAUGCAUCAAUACAAUAGAAACCGAUCAAGGCUCUGAUACCACUGAUGGGUUUUAGCCAUAAGAACAUCCUAUGUGCUCAUGCAAACCCUAAUGCUUGGAUCUAAGUUUCUCUAUUGUACAUGCAAUUCAUCCAAGAAUUUAAACCCUAGUUCUAGCAUACAAAUAAUCAUAUUAACUUGUGAAAGGGUGUUUAGAUCUUACCUUGAUUGUUAUAGAGUAAUAACAAUCUCAAUUCCUCCUUGUAAUGACUUUAGAAAGCUUGGAGUCACAAGUGUCACUCCUCUAAUGGUUUACAAACACCAAGAGCUAGAGGAUGAAGAAUAAGGAGAGAGGAGGCUGCCCAAGAAUGUCCAAACCCCUAGAAGAACUCUUUGCCACGUUUUUGGGGCUUAAGGGUACUAUAUAUACAUGUAGGCUAUUAGGGUUUUCAACUAGGAAACCCUAAUCUGACCACUUAAGCCCUAAGCAGCCCUUGGACCCUUUUAGAAUAUCCCUUGAAUGAUUUCUAAUGGGUUUCCCCAUAGAAUUCGUCCAACCUAUUAUUCCAAGGUAAUCCAUAGCCCAAAUGCAAUUAUCUUAUAAUUAUAGUUCCAGUCCCUUAAGUUUAAUUAAUCUCUUUUAGCCACAAAAUUAAUUAUCAAUUAAUUCUUGACGAAUAUUAAUUAAAGAAUAUGAUUUCUCCUUUAAUAUAUUAUUCUCAUAAUAUAUUAAUAAAUCAUAAUUAAUCUUCUCUCUCCAUAAUUCAUCAUAUCAAGUUGCUUUGGUGAUGGCAACCCAAAAGGACCAUGCACCAUCGGGUCAAGGACAUACCAAAAUAGUUAUGGACUUAGACACUAAUCUAACACUUCAGCCACAUACACGAAAUUCUCAGCCAUAUUUUGAUCAUUUUGCGGAUUUCGAAGUGUUCCUGAAGUUCCAAAUUUUAGAUAAGCUAGGAUGCUUCACUCUCUUCUUCUUCUUCUUCAUUUUGAUGUAGAUUUUUGCACGUUUUCUUUCUAAACUUAGAUUCUUUGCCUCUCCUUUGGCUAGAACCUUUUAUUCCAUCUUAGUGUUUGUAGAUUUUCACCAAGACAGAUUGCAUGUGUCAAAUAUGGUGAAAAUUUGGGAUUGAACCCAAGCUAAGAUCAAAAGGAAACUAGUAUGUUCUUGUGUCUUCUAAAAUCGGAUUCAACACCUUCAUUUUUUACUUUUCAUGUUCUCAUAUAAUAAAACCAUUUCUAAUACAUCAUAGAUGGUUGUUCACUUGAUGCAUGUGCUAGAAAUUGGAUUGUAGUGCAAAUCCUAGUGUAAGAUUAGGCUCCAAGGAGUUCAUUACAUCAAAGAACGAAACAUCCAUUUUUGGGGUCUUGGAUAAACCUAGAUCAAUGACUUGGAUCAAUGCACACCAAAGUUUCUUGUUCCUCUGUAAACUAUAGUAUGCUCUUCUUCAUUUUCUAUCAAAAAGAAUAUGCAUGUUGUUCUUUGUGAACAUAUGACCCAGAGUGACACUUUAAUCAACCAAAGAUAACAUGCAUUCCUUCAUAAAUAUUUGUUCCACUUUGGACAGCCAUAUCUCACUCAUUACUCAACCAAAUCAUGAUAUUAUAUUUCUGGAGACUAGUUUCCUGAAUUAACUUUCAAACCCAUGUGACCUUACUGUAAAACAUUAAGAAUUUGAUUUUUGCAAAUUUUUACAAAACCGUUGCGCAAACAGCUCUUUUUCUGUGAUCACUAGUUUUGCAUUACAUGAUCAAAGACCUUCAAUCCCACAAUAAAUCUAGAGAAAAAUAUUUUAUAAAUCUGACACAUUUAUCUUAGAAGAGCUAAAAGUUCAUGAAAUAAAACCUUAUAGAAGUUUCUACACAAAUUGUCGAACUUCCAGCUACAUUUGGAACUCAUGCACUAGUUAGUGCUAAAUUUCAAAACUUGUUGGCGGUAGAAUACCCCAUUUAGCUCUGAAAUUAACCAAAUUGUUUUAUGAAUGGUCAUUUUGAACCAAAUUAUUUUGAACCAAAUUGUUUUAAGAGAUAUUAUGUGAAACCCCAAGUGCUUAAACAAAAUCCUUAUUUUUCUAAGAAAUAAGAAUUUAAUGAACAUAAAUUCAAAAUAACCAUUUACAGAUGAGAUAAAAAUCUAAAAAAUUAUAGAAUUGAUGUAUUCAUACAAUAGGGAUCUCAUAUAAAUUAUUAUACGAUUUGGCCAUUGUUUGGUAUUUUAUUUAUAUUUUUUAUUGAAUUAGAGCAUGAAUUUACAAAAGCGUGUCAUAGGACUCAAGGGCUUGAAUCAAUAGUUUUCACAACUUUGUCAAUGAGAAACUGUAAAAAUUAAUUUGAGAAUUUUUGCAACUGUUUGCUAUUUACUUUCAUAUUAUUUAGAUUUAAAUUGCAAAUAAAUAACAACUGACCUUCAAAAUUCUCUAUAAACUUUCUGGACACUAAAACCCUCUGAUAGAACCGUAAUAUAAUGUUUUACAAUUUUUGAAGCUCAUUUUCAUUCCUUUAUGGAUUUUUGAACACAAGACACCAUGAAUUCAAUCAAUUUAAACAGAAAAUUCACAGUUUAAUGAAAUAAAUUUAAAAUUUUAAACACAAAAAUCACAGUCUAAUAGACAAUUAGGUGCUUAAUAUAGUCAAUUCACAAUUUAAACAAAAAAAUCAUACCUUAAUGUAGUUAAUUCAUAGCUUAUAACACAAAAAUCACAGCUUAAUAAAUAAAAUUUACAACUUUUUACAAUAAAUUCAUAGUUUAAGAAACAAAAAGUAUGAAAUUCAUAGUCAUAUUAUCAACUUAAAACUGUUAAUACAAUGAAUCCUAAGUUUAAUACACAAAAUUCACAGCUUAAUACAAUAAAUUCAUAGCUUAAUACACAUAAACUACAUAAUCACAUCCAUAUUCUCAAAUUAAAACUUAUAUUUAUACUUUCAUAUAUGGAGGCACGACUAUGUAUUAAACUGUGAAUUUAAUAUAUUAAGUCGUGAAUAAAAUUCAAAGCUUACUAUAUAAAAUUUGCAAUUUAAUACAAUACAUUCAUAACUCAUUUAGAAGUAUAAUAUCAUAUUUCAAUGCAUUAAACAAGUAACUUACUGUUUAAUAGAUACAUAAAUUAUAAAAUAUUUUUGAAGCAAACAUCAAAAUAAAAUAUAUACAUUAAUCAUAAAAGAUGAUGGAAUCAACAAAGAAGACGAGUGAGAAAUAAAACAUAUCCGUACUCUACCACUACCAUGAUUAUCAACACCACCAACUACAAUCAACCAUCGCCACCACCAACCACUGGUGCCAACACCUCCAAUAUCCUUCCUCAAAAAUCAGAUUUGGAUAAAAAUAAUAUACAUUUAGAGCUUAAUAACUUACAUAUUCACAAAUUAAUAAAUAAAAAAAAUACAUAUUCACAACUUAAUAACUUACCAAAUUUCAUUAAGGCAUUUCCUCAAACACUUUGUGUGUACCACAUACAUCAAAUGCAUAAUCACCACAAAACAUCAUAUCUGACAAGAUAUAUAAGAGUCUUAUCAUCUAUGAAGUCACGCGAUGUUGUUUAGUUCUCUGACGAAGUUUGACGGCAAUAACAGAUCCAGAUCUUGAGAAAAAAAAACAACACAUAACUUUCAAAGAUCUUAAAUGAAGAACACAAAACAAGAUGUUCAAUUUGAAGAAGGCAACACCAAAUCUCGUCUGAACUCGCGGAUCUGGAUAUCUGUUAUGACGAAAAUCAUAGAUGAGAACCGCUACUCACAGAUCUUAACAUUGGUGGUGCUAGAAAUAGUAGAUCUGGAACGAAGCUUGAAAUCUGAAGAUCUUGUGGUUUUAGACGACGAGCGGCGACGAUUGAGGUGGAUGUUCAGAUGUAGUUGUGGAACAGAUCUGUUGUGUCAGAGCUUCAUGGUGGUGGUGUUGGAAAGUCAUCGGAGAUUCCAAAUUUGAGUAGAAGAAGGUCCAGAUCUGAUGCAUUCGAGAUCUACAAUAUCUUAGUAAAAAUUUAGUGGUUUUGGUGGCUCUCCAUAGCAUAUCUAAAGAAAAGGUGGUGGAUCGUCGGAGCAAAUAUGUCGUGGAAGGAGGAUACGACUAUGACGACGGUUCACCACAACAGUGGUUCCAGAUUUGAAAAUCCGACGACGAAUAUAAGUGUUAUCGUCAGUGGUCGGAGGCUGCGACGUGGAGGUGUCAUCGGCGGCGGUGUUAUCGGUGGUGAGGCGGCCGCCGACAAUGGUGGAUAUGGUGGUGUUCAUUAGAAAUGAUUGAAGGAGGUUAGAGGAUAUUUGUUUUGUUCUUGGAGAAUUGUGAAGAAAUGGUAUCAGAUCUAACAUAUGUAAUAUAUUUUUCUCAAAGAGACCAUUAUGUCAUUAUUUUUUAUCAUUUAUAAAAGCUUCAAGAAAAUCAAAAUACUAGAAAAUACAUAAAUAACCUUAAUUAUUAAUUAAAUCUAGUGGUUUUUAAGAUAAUUAAUCUUUAAUGGUUUUCAUUUGAAUUUUUACCUCUCUCUCUCUCUCUCUCUCUCUCUCUAUAUAUAUAUANNNNNNNNNNNNNNNNNNNNNNNNNNNNNNNNNNNNNNNNNNNNNNNNNNNNNNNNNNNNNNNNNNNNNNNNNNNNNNNNNNNNNNNNNNNNNNNNNNNNNNNNNNNNNNNNNNNNNNNNNNNNNNNNNNNNNNNNNNNNNNNNNNNNNNNNNNNNNNNNNNNNNNNNNNNNNNNNNNNNNNNNNNNNNNNNNNNNNNNNNNNNNNNNNNNNNNNNNNNNNNNNNNNNNNNNNNNNNNNNNNNNNNNNNNNNNNNNNNNNNNNNNNNNNNCCUUUCAUAAGCAUGAUUCAAUUGUUGCCCACGUUGUAAUGAAUCUUUGUCAUGAGGCAUGCUUUCUAUUAGGAAAAAUCCAAAUCAAAUCUUACCCUUGCCUUUUCUUUCGCAGCACCAUACAUUUGUUCAUACAUUACCAAAACUAUAUUUGUAGAAUAAGAGGAAGAAAUUUCGUCUAUUUCCUUUAUUAUAUAUAAUUUAUACUAUAUUAUAAAACAUAUUAGUAAUAUAUCUUAAAUUUUAGAAAAUAUAACAUAUAAAGUUUUUUCUAUAAAUUAAUUAUACAUAACAAAAUCAUUAAUAUUUGUUAAAAUUUUGUAGACUUGAAAUUAAAAACAUUAUUAAAAAUUUAAUUUCGAACAAAAUGACAAUUUUAAAAUAUUAAAUUUAUCUACAUAAAUUAAUUUGUAUUUUAUUAAAAUAGACACCGAGAAUAAUUAAUUUUCAACAAAUGAAACAUAGAAUAUAAAUAUAAGUUUUAAAUAUAAUAUUUAAUUAGAAGUAGUAAUUUUUUUAUUAUAUAAUAACUAAUAAUAAAAUUUAAUAAUUAUUUCUACAUAAGAAAAAUUAUUCGUCAAAAGAAUUAUUUAUCAAUGCUACUUUACACGGACAAAGCUAGUUAUAAUAUAUGUAUUUUCAAAAUCAACCAUUAAGAGUCUACUUAUUAUAUAUUUAUAAACAAAUAAAGAAUAAAUUUAAUUGUUAUUAUUUUUUUUAUUUUAAAUAACACGAUUAUUUAUUGAAUGAUAAACUUACAAAACUGACAUCUAAACAUUUCAUUUACAUAUAAGUCGGAAACGAAACAAUAUGAUUUAAGAUAAUUAUUAAUAACGUCAGUAAUACUCGAGCCCGUUCCAAAAAAAAAUAAUAAUACUCGAGCAUAGCCCCUCAUUUUUGUUAAAAGUUAAAGAUACCCAACAAUUUUCAAAUAGACCAACUUAGCGAGACAAUGUGAUGUCAUUGUAAGUAUGUGUUGUGUGUCCAUUUGGGAGUAUGUGAUUAAAAAGUGUUUCAAAAUUCCCUUUUUGGAGGAAUUUUGACAAUGUGAAGGGGACAAACAAACCCGUGCAAGCUGUAAAGAUCUCUAAUAUCGACCCUUUUAAAACCUCUUUCGCUUCUUGACUUUUCAUGCAUUAUAAAUAUGCUUCGCCGAUUUAAUUAGAGACUAAAAAAUAAUGGGCUCGAGUGAUUUAGAUAAUUAGUCGAAAUGGUAAGUUUUUAGUUUGGCUUAAAUAGAUUGGUACUUAAUGUGUUCGUUUAUUUUUAAUUUUAGAUAUAGAUGAUAAAUAUAGAUCAAAUCUUUAUUUUAAUAAAUGAACUAGAUUAUGACCCGCAUUAAACGCGGGGAAAAUAAAUUAAAUAAUAUCACAUUAAUAGAUAAAAUUGUCUUAGAUGAAAUUUUAAUAAAAAAAUUGUUAAUACCUGUUCAUCAAUGUGAAUCAUACCAAAUUUUUAAGUCUUUUUUGAAGAUCCGUAUGCAAGAUGUUUCAUGAGAGAGAUUAUUCUUAUACACUCAUGGUAAAUUGACUUUUUGAAGCAUUAAGUUGGUAUAUGAAUAUAAUGUUGCUUCGAGCCAUAUUUCUGUUUGUGAAAGAACUAAUCAUUGUUAAACACAUGUGAUUCAACCAAGUAAUAUCGACCGGGUAAAUAGGCAAAACAGGAACAAUUCAAAAUUAUAGGGUCAGAGUGAAAAUAUAGUUUUAAGGAUGAAAUUCAUAACUUUUGACAUAACUCAAGGACGCCGAAUGUAAUUUAGUCUAAAACAUAUAAUGUAGAAUGUCUUUUGUAUGUAAUCAAAAUCAAAUUAUAAAAGUAAAACAAAAUUCUUAUCAUCCAAAUAUGAAUGAUGUUAUAUACUUUUUAAAAACCUCAUAAUGCAUACCUGACAAUAAAGUAAGUGUAAAUAGUUUUUCUGAUGCUCAUCAGAAAAUAUAUCAAGCAGUAGAAGGGGCAACAGUGGCAAGGGUAGGUGUAUUUUAGGUAAAGAGAACGUAUACAUAGAUGUUGUUCUACCCUCAUUCAUCAUGCAAAUAGUAUUCAAUGUAUAUGAGUAUUUUUUUAUGUGGUGUAUAGAAAUAUACCAGUUCCAUUCAUUGAUAUAUACCGUUGUAUUUGAUUCAUGAUUACAUUUGAUUACACAAGUUUCAGGAAUGUUGCAAGUAGAAGAUAUAACGUUGAUUAUACACAGACUCACAAACAAACAAACAUAGGUCAACACAUUAAUAAAAAUCGAUAUAAAGGAUAUAAUUUUGUUUUUGUAAAUGAAUGAAACUAAUAUGCUUAAAGUAGAUUGAUUAAUUUUUUUAAUGACCUCUCAACAGGAAUACAAUAAUAACAGGUAAUAAGCACAGAGUAAAUGCAAGAAAUUGGAGAAGAAAAAGGAGAACAAAGUAAAGAAAGAACCUGGAAAAAAGAAUUUGAAAAGAAGAUAACUGAAGAAGAACACUAUAAAUCGUAGGGCUCAAUCCAAAAUCCUAAGAAUAACAACUUCGAUGUAAUCGUAUAUAGGAUGUUUUUUAAUAAAAAAAUGAUUAUCUUCCAAAAAAUGGGAUCCUAAGAUAUUAUAUUGGAGAUUUUCGACUAUUCAUUUGGAAAAAAAAUUAAGAUAUAUGUUAUAUUGAUUUAAAAUUUCAAAUUAAUUGACUUGCUUAUUUAAUUAGUUUUAAAAUUCAAACCAAUAUCUCAAACUGAUUCAUUUUAUGUGGGAUAUAUUGUGAGAUAAAUCAUAAAUAAUAUUGAUUUUAAUUUUAACUCUCAAAUAGUUUGCUGAUUUAAUGAGAUUAGAUUAGAUUUUAUAUGUUAAUAACUGAAUUAUUGAUAUGUUUAUUUAAUGAGUUUUUUCAAACAAAAAAAAGCUAAACGAAUUUGAAUUUUGAAGUCAAAAACUAUAAAUAAGGAAGUUAAAUUAUGGAGAAUAUUAAUUAGAAAAACUGAUAUAUUGUAUAUAAAUAGAAUGAUAUGCCUUAAUUGAUAACAUAAUCGCUGAAUUUAAAUAUUCUAUAAUUAUUAAAGAUUUUAUACUUAAAUGUAAUUGUGUUUGAAUUCUAUUUGGGGAAGAUGAUGUCAACAAUUAUAUGGUAUAUAAAUAGAAUGAUAUGCCUUAAUUGAUAACAUAAUUGCUGAAUUUAAAUAUUCUAUAAUUAUUAAAGAUUUUAUAAUUAAAUGUAAUUGUGUCUGAAUUCUAUUUGGGGAAGAUGAUCUUAGCAAUUUGAUAUAAGGUGUAAAACAAAGGAUUGAAAUACAAUCAAAGGCACUAAUUGCUUCAUUGAUGAAUUAAAGGUUCUUUUUUAAUAAUAUUAGAGAUAACCGAAUUAUUGAUAUGCUUAUUUAAUGAGUUUUUUCAAAAAAAAAGAAAAAAAAAGCUAAACGGAUUUGAAUUUUAAAACCAAAAACUAUAAAUAAGGAAGUUAUGUAACACCGUAAAAUUUAAAACAAUUUUUUUCGCAUUUUCAAAACACAUUUUCCAAACACAUUUAUUAAUAAAAUGUCAUUGUAUCAUAUCCUUGUUUCACAAACAUUUCCCAAGAUCGAAAUACAUAAAAUCCCAUGUGUGUGUGUGUGUACGAAUCAUGCCGACGCCUUCCCGCGGUCGUCACUGGUACCUGAAAUAGUAACACUGUAAGCAUAAAGCAUAGUGAGUUCCCCAAAAUACCACUCUAACACAUUUUAGCCGCUCGAGGCUAUAACUCUGUUUGACCCUCUAGUCAUUGUGUCUCAGUGGGACCCUCUAGUCCCAACUCUCUGUGGGCCCUCUGGCCCUAAUUCUGUGGACCCAAAGGUCUUUACUCUAUGGACCCACUGGUCCUAGCUCUGUAAACUCUGAAUCAUGCAUAUCACAUAUCACAACAAUUAUAACACAUAAAUAGCAUGCAAAUACACUGGCACAUAGCUCUAAAAUAUACUGCCACAUAACCCUGUUACCACUCUAGGCAAAGUAUAGUGAGAAGACUCACCUCUGGUAUCUCGGUAAAUCUCUGACUCGGUAAAUGCUGGCCUAGCCUCCGCCUAAUCAUAUGAAAUAAAUACCCUAUUUAAUAUAACUCUUAAAGGCUAGACUAUGUCCUCUUAUGACACUCUCAGAAGGGUAAAAGACCAUUUUACCCCUCUCAUAACUCAAAAGGCCCCACAAUAGACCAUACCCUAAAAGUCAACCAAAAGUCAACUUUCCGGGUUACGCUGCGUGUACCAGAUGUGUACGCUGAGCGUACCCGACUGCCUCUUAGAAUCGGGGAACGCCACCCAGUACAUGGCGUGUACUGGGAUUGCGCCCGACGUACUCCCCUACUUCAGCCCUAGCUCUUGAGGUCUUAAACAGUUAAGACCCACGUCCAACUUCUAGAUCUGACCACAUCUAAGCCUCUUAAUCUAUAAAGUUGAUGACUUUAAGCCUUUACAUGGCUGAACAAGUCACCAACGCCCAUAAUAUUCCAUUCUCUAACUCUAGAAGGCUUAUUACUCAAGCAUGACCUCAAGCUAACAACCAAGAUGGAAACUUUAUGGAUCUAAACCACUAAUACCACUGAAAAGGGACAGAUCUAGGACCAUGGAGCACCUUACACUCAUAAAGUCUCCACCUUUGGGGUUUUUAACCCUAGAAAUGGCACAUGCAACAACAACCAAAAGAAGAGGAAAGUUUUGAACUUUAAACCUCUAAGUGUAGCCCCUUUAUCUGUAGAUCUCAGAUCGAAAUUGGCACUUCAAGCUUUAGCUUCCAAAAGCUCCUUUCCUUCUUUUUCACUAAGUCACCAAUGCACAAAUAGCUCCAACAACACUCACAUACACUAAGGACGAUGGGAGGCUCUCUCUUAGGGUUUCACUCACUGAUAUGGAGGCUGAGAAAUGAGCAUUAGCACCCUUUAAAUAGUGCACAAGACAUAUUAGGGUUUUCGCACCUGGGCCGGGUACACCCAACGUAACUCUGGGUACGCCCAGCGUACCUUGGCGAUUCUGCGUCCAAAAUAAGUGCACGAAUACGACCAGCGUACUCCCAAGUAUGCCCAGCGUACUCAUUUGCCACAUAAUUCCUCAAAAGGGCUAAACUUGACAACAAGAGAAAAGAAGGAGGAUUGAAUAGUUGUACCAGAAUCUUGGGAUGUUAUAGUUCUCCCCCACUAGAACUAGACUUCGCCCUCAAAGUCUCAUACUGCAAAUAACUCCAAAUGUUGCUCCCGCAUCUAUGACUCUGUCUCCUAAGUCAGCUCGGACCCCCUCCGGUGUUGCCACUGAACCUGAACCAGGGGCACCUCCUUGUUCCUCAGAACCUUGAUCCUGCGGUCCAUAAUCGCGAUUGGACUUUCAGCAUAAUUCAGGCUCGCAUUCACCUGAAUAUCCUCCAGACGCUCCACUGCCGACUCGUCGGCCAUACACUUUCUCAGUUGGGACACAUGGAAGGUGUCAUGAAUAUGGCUCAACUCCUCAGGUAGCUCCAAAGGAUAUUCUACUCUGCCCACCCUCACGAUCACUCUAAACGGACCAAUAUACCGGGGCCCUAGCUUGCCUCUCUUCCUGAACUGGAUCACUCCUUUCUAAGGAGAUACCUUCAGGAGCACAAAAUCUCCGACCUGAAACUCAAGCUUGGACUGACGCCUAUCCGCAUAACUCUUCUGGCGACUCUGAGCGGUCAACAACCUCUGUCUGACCUGCUAAAUCUGCUCAGUCAUCUGAAGUACUAUCUUUGUACUACCUAUCACACGUUGCCCUACCUCUCCCCAGUAAAUGGGAGUCCGACACCUCCUCCCAUACAACAACUCAAAGGGCGGCAUACCGAUGCUCGAAUGAUGGUUGUUGUUAUAAGAAAACUCUGCGAAAGGUAGAUACGUGUCCCAACUCCCUCUGAAGUCCAAUACACAUGCCCGAAGCAUGUCCUCGAGCGUCUGAAUCGUCCACUCGCUCUGCCCGUCAGUCUGUGGGUGGUAUGCGGUACUAAAAUGCAGCCUCGUACCCAAUUCCUCAUGAAAUUUCUUCCAGAAUCUGGAAGUGAAANNNNNNNNNNNNNNNNNNNNNNNNNNNNNNNNNNNNNNNNNNNNNNNNNNNNNNNNNNNNNNNNNNNNNNNNNNNNNNNNNNNNNNNNNNNNNNNNNNNNNNNNNNNNNNNNNNNNNNNNNNNNNNNNNNNNNNNNNNNNNNNNNNNNNNNNNNNNNNNNNNNNNNNNNNACUGAUAGCAAGAAAGUGGGCGCUCUUCGUCAACCUGUCCACAAUCACCCAAAUUGCAUUGACUCCCCUAGCAGUCCUUGGCAAUUUGGUGAUAAAAUCCAUGGUAAUCUGUUCCCACUUCCACUCGGGAACCUCCAAUGGCUGCAACUUACCAUGCGGUCUUUGGUGCUCGGCCUUAACCCUACGACAGGUUAAGCACCUCUCAACAAACCACGCGACAUCCCUCUUCAUACAGAGCCACCAAUACUCCCUCUUCAGGUCCAAAUACAUCAUAGUGCCCCCAGGAUGGAUCGAGAACUUCGAUCGAUGAGCCUCUUCCAUCAAAAUGGUACGCGUCCCGCCCACAAACGGUACACAGAUCCGACCUUGGAACGUCAUAAGUCCCCGACUAUCGGUAACGAACUCCAAUACCAACCCGACAACUCGCUCUCUCUUCCGGUUUUCUGAUCUCACGGCCUCAGCCUGGGCCCCACGAAUGGUUUCCAACACCGGAGUCAUCACUGUCAAUCUCAAACAAACAUCUUGCAUCAGAGUGCUCUCCGCCCUUCGGCUUAGUGCAUCGGCUACAACAUUAGCCUUACCCGGGUGGUACAGGAUCUCGCAGUCAUAAUCCUUUACCACAUCCAACCAUCUCCUAUGUCGCAUAUUUAGGUUGGGCUGAUCCAUCAAGUACUUCAAGCUCUUGUGGUCCGUGUAUAUGGUACACCGAACCCCAUACAGAUAAUGACGCCAGAUCUUGAGGGCGAACACCACUGCCCCCAACUCUAGAUCGUGGGUGGGAUACCUCGUCUCAUGAGGCUUCAGCCGCCUCGAUGCGUAUGCUAUCACAUGCCCUCUCUGCAUCAGUACCGCUCCCAACCCCGAUAUCGACGCGUCACAAUACACCACAAAAUCCUCCAUCCCCUCCGGAAGGGCUAAAAUUGGGGCUUCGCACAGUCUCUGGCGAAGUGUCACGAAGGAGGCCUGUUGCUCUGGGCCCCAUGAAAAAGCAACACCCUUCCGGGUCAACCUGGUGAGUGGCACGACGAUCUUGGAGAAAUCCCAGAUAAAUCUCCGGUAAUAGUCUGCCAGCCCUAAGAAACUCCUGAUCUUGGUGGGUGACCUCGACACCUCCCAACUCAUCACUGCCUCAAUCUUGGCCGGGUCGACCAAUAUCCCUUUCUGGUUAACGAGGUGCCUUAGGAACUAGACCUCUCGCAACCAGAAAUCACACUUGGAGAAUUUGGCAUAAAGCCUCUCCGAUCUCAGAACUUCGAGGAUCUCCCUCAAAUGCUCCUCAUGCUGCUCUCUGGAUCUCGAAUACACCAAAAUGUCAUCGAUGAAUACGAUCACUGAGCGAUCCAACAUCGGCCUGCACACUCUGUUCAUGAGAUCCAUGAACACUGCCGGUGCAUUGGUGAGUCCGAAAGGCAUCACCACAAACUCGUAAUGUCCAUAAUGAGUCCUGAACGCUGUCUUCUGGAUGUCCUCAUCUCGCACCCUCACCUGAUGAUACCCAGACCUCAAAUCGAUAUUGGAGCACCAAGAUGCUCCCUGCAACUGAUCGAACAAAUCGUCGAUCCUCGGCAACGGGUAACGGUUCUUGACCGUCAGCUUGUUCAACUCCCAGUAAUCAAUGCACAUCUGGUGUGAACCAUCCUUUUUCUUGACAAAAAGGAUAGGCGCUCCCCACGGCGAGCUGCUUGGCCGAAAAAUCACCUUCCCCUGCAACUCUUGAAGCUGCGAGGAUAACUCCUGCAUCUCUGGAGGCGCAAGGCGAUAGGACACCUUGGCGAUAGGCACAGCCCCCGGAACCAAAUCGAUACUGAACUCCAUCUGCCUCACGGGAGGCACGCCCGACAACUCCUCCGGAAAUACGUCCGGGAACUCACGCACUAUCGGAACCUCAUCAACUGACCUCGGUCUCUCUGAAUCAACCCUUGUAUCCAUCACAUACGCUACAAAAGCCCCUACAACCCUGAUGUAGACACUGUCUCGCUCUAGCGGCCGAAUAAAAUGCUGACCCAAAACGUGUACCCUCGCCGUACACCGUAAGAACUCCCCCACAAGUGUCUCGUAUGGUCACCAGCUGUCGCUCGCAGUCGAUAACCGCUCCGAAUCUGCUCAACCAGUCCAUGCCCACGAUGACACAGACAUCUCCCAUCGCAAUAGGAACUAAAUCAAUCGGGAAUUCAACACUGAAAAUCUCGAGUACACACCCUCGGAUCACCUCUGUGGCAUACACUGCCCUCUCGUCAGCUAUGGAAACUCUUAGAGGUCGACUCAACGCCUCACGACUAACACUGAUAUGCUGACUAAAAGCCAAAGAUACAAAAGACCGACUCACACCCGAGUCAAAUAACACCAAGGCAGGUACAUAAUUCAAGUAGGAAAUAUAGGAUUUUCUAGAGGAAAUAUAGGAUUUUCUAGAGGAAUAGGCGAACAUUUCAAAACAGAACUUAUAGCUUACUCACUUGUGCAUAUACAUUUUCAACCACAUUUUACAGCUUACAUCAUUUGUGCAUAUACAUUUUCAACCACAUUUUACAGCUUACUCACAUCACUAGAAUCUUAUGAACUCACCAGCUUAAUUGAUGAUCGACUCUUUCAAAUAACUUGUAUUCUCAGGAGACUAUUAGACAGGUGCUCGUGCUCGGAAUUUAGAAGAUGGAGCAUUACAGCUUCAAGUCUUGUUUUGUUAUUUGUUUAUAACCUCUAUGUUUUGUGAACACACACAUUGUAAACACUUUCUUUCUAAAUGAAAUGGCUGUUCAUUACUUGCUUACCAUAUACAUAUGUCAUGAUACUUGACAUGACGUCCUCCACCCCCGAACGUUUCCGUCAUUCCGGUUUUGGGGUGUGACAGAUUGGUAUCAGAGCAUUGUUUAUAGUGAACUAAGUAUAUCAACCGAUAAAAGAUAUACGUCUAUAAAUACAAUGGGGCUUAAGUGCUCUGGAUAAUGAUAUAUUUUAGAGUAUAACUACAAGUUAUAAAAAUAUACCUACUUGCUCAUACAUUUAUGUAAUAGAACUAGGGUCACGAGGAGAACAGAACUAAAGGUAUUUAAAGGUUGGGCACUAUCGUCAACCCGAAUAGUUAUGUAAUCAUAGCUAGGAUCAAUAUAUCCUGAUCAACUAUAUUCAUUCGAGAUGUGACCAACAUGUGUUUGGGAAUGAUGUGGUGUUGCAAAAGGGUUAAAACUUAACGGAACACCAGUCAAGAGAACGCCAGAACAAGUACAGUUAGAGUUAGAGUACUAUGGGAGUAUUCUAUGAUACGAUAGCGCGAUAACAAGUUUAGAACAUGGCAAGUACAGUUAGAGUUAGAAUACUAUAGGAGUAUUUUGGUCCAGAUAAAUAACUUAUGUGAUAACUUAAAACACCCUUGCGGAUAGGUCUAUAAUCUUACAGGGUAUAUUCAUAAAGUUUUAUAUAUAAGCAAGAUCUUAUAGACAUAUAAUCUGUGACCGACGCUUCGCUAUCCAUUCCUCUUAAGGAAGUAGUGUUGAGGUGGGAUCAAUCAUUCGAAGAUCUAUUUGAUCUUCAAUUUUAUACAAUACAAACUGGUGUACCUUGUACAAUUAUAGGAGGAUUCAGUAAGGAUCGCCCCAUAAAGUUGCCUUAAAGCUCAUAGGUUCUUUAGUCACUUUCAUUCUCGCGCGACAAGCCCAGAUAGAUGUAACCACUUCCUUAUAGUAGACAACAUAAGAGUUCAGAAGGAACAAGGACAAAUUCUCGAGAAGAUUUCAAGGAAAGAUCAGCCGACGUAACCAAAACGUCUUACGCGUCACACUAAUAAAUGUUAAUUAGAUUAAUUUAUCGAGUGAGUGGAAACACUACUCACAUUACAUGUGUUAGAAUUAUUUUCUUACAUGCAGCUGGUAACUGUUAUUCAGGAAACAGAUAUUCAUUCGAGCAUAGUUAUUUCAAAUUCAUAGAUUUUAUUAGGUAUAGAAUCAAAUAUGAAUUGUUCCUAGAACCCUAUGGAAGUCAGGACUCGAUACAUCCAGAACUAGGAUAACCUUGUAUUUUCAGCUUUCGGCUUGUGUACGUUGCUAUAGACUUAUUCCGUCUCAUCUUUGUUUUCUUUUAGCAAAGAUGCCUCCUCGAAGAUCACCCAGACACACUACUCCGAUAACUCUAAUACCUUCUCCACAAAUCGAUGCAACAACUCUGAACGUUGCAGUGGCCGCGGUUGUGGCAACAACCAUGGCGCAAUAUCACCCCACCAGUACAUGUGGAGGUGAAACGCCUAUCGAUUCUACUCAAGGUGAGGUCCUUGUGCACUCGGGAGAGUUAUCCUACAAAGACUUCAUCAGAUGCCAACCAUUGUCCUUUAAGGGGACUGAAGGAGUCAUUGCCCUCAUGCAAUGGUUUGAGAAAACAGAGUCUUCGAAAUCUGUUUAUGCCCAGAAGGAAGCAAAGUGAAGUUUUCUGCCUGCACCUUUGAUGGCAAGGUCCUAACAUGGUGGAAAAGCCAUAUUAAGUCACUGACCCUAUCAGUGGCAAACUCAAUAAGUUGGGAAAACCUAAAAGAGUUAAUGCGGGAAAAAUACUGGCCGUUAGGCAAGAUUCAAAAACUAGAACAAGAGCUGUGGGGUCUCACUAUGGUCGGCUCAGACAUAGUGACCUAUACUGACCGGUUCAUCGAACUAGCAGCUCUAUGCCCUAAGAUGGUUACCUCGGAGAGAAAGAAGAUAAAAAGAUACAUUUGGGGUCUGACUGCUACGACCCAAGGAAAUGUACUGUCUUCUAACCUAGCCACGUUCGAUAGUGCUAAACGCUUGGCACAGCGACUCAUCGAUCAUGGAGUCCGUCAUAGCGUAAAAGUCCCUAUUCCCGAGUCAUUUAGGGAAGAGACCUAUAAUCAGAAGUCGGGGAACAAGAGAAAGAAGAAGCGAACAACGCAAGACACCCCGCAAGAGCAACGAGCGAGUACUAUGUACGCCGCUAUGACACCUACUACUUCAGCACCUGCCAGUCGAUAUGCAGGAAACCUUUCGAAGUGUGGAAAAUGCAACUUUCACUACACUGGAGUGUGCCAGGAAAUGCAGUGUCUAAACUGCAACAAAAAGGGACACACAGUCCGUUACUGCAGGGCACCGGCUCAACCAAUCUCCUAAGUCCUUGGAGAUGAAGAAAACCAAGUCUGCUAUGGUUGUGGUGAGACUGGACACAAUCAGAGGGACUGCCCGAUAAUCAGGAACUUAGGUGCGGAUGGACGCAUUCUGAUGAUCACUACAGGAGAAUCUACCCCGGAGUCGUCGUCGAGUAGUGGUACGUUUUCAAAAUAGUAAUUACUUUUAAAAUUAAUUUAUAUUCAUAUAAGAUUAAAAUUUGGGGAAGACACUUAAAAGUAACUAUAACAACUCACAUGUUAAAAUAGGUCGAAAUAUUCAAGAGAACUAAAAGAUCCGUUAGAGAAGCUAUUAUGGCUCACCAUAUACAUCAGGGUUUUGCGCAACUAAGAUGUUGCAGACUUAGAGUGAGUGACUCCGCUUAGGUCCCCUUUCCUUAAUUGGUUGAGGAUUUGAGGCAGAGAUGCCCAGUCGACUGCUUGGCUCGUCUUAAGUAUUCACAACUUGUAUAUGACGGGCGAUGGUAGUGGUACCAUGGGGGAUCAAGAUGUAAAAGUAUUCCUUUAGUUAGUCAAGCACUUUUAUUUGUAUGUAUGCGCACAUAGCGGUACGAUACAUAGGAGUGUUAAUUUCAAAUAGAAAACAGGAAACACGAGAACGGUUACAAGGAGUACAUUGUUGAACAUACUAGGAGUACAGUAACAAGCAUACCAGGGAUACAUCGUCGUUUAACAGACGUUUCUUUCAUUUGACCAAAACUUUGUUCAAUAUAGAGUCCGUUGUUUUCUUUCGUCAUGAUUUGGCAUGGUCCUCAACAUACUGAGUUCAUAUGUUUCUAUCGCCUCGAUCGGCAAGUUCUCGAAACUUUCAUCAUUCGUAUUGAAAGUCCGACCUGAAUCAAAAAUUUUAUCUUUCGCAUUCUGAAACCCCCGAAGUACUCGUGCGAAGAGUACUUUGUCCUCCGAAGCUUUAUCGUCAGACGUCCGUAGACCAUCACGAAAUACCACUCGUCCAGCAAACCAUGUUCGAGCACAAAGGCUAUGGACGAAUACAACCCACCUAUUACUAUUGGGUGUAUACACGAGGGUGGUAUAUGAUUAUGAUUACGCAUACAUAGUAUGUAUGUUUCCGCCCUAUCUCUUGUCCUCGUUGGGUUGUGGACCUGGGGCAGAGUCGCACAUCCGACCGUCUUACUAACCCUAGUUAUAUACGACUUGUAUACACGAGGUAAUGAUAGAUGGAGAAAGUAUGAAUCCUAUCACGAACGGAGGGGAAAAAUUGCCAAGUCUACGAAUGGGUAUUCUUCUAAUCAGAAGAGCGCAACCACAGUAGUAAUGGUAUGAGAGCUAAUUUCGGGAUGAACAUCCCUCUAACAGGGGGAUGAUCUGACAACCCGAAAUUUUUUAUGUAUAAGCUCAGUCAGUCAACUCAACUGAGUGUGAAAAUCAUUAUUACAAAGUUCUAGCAUGGUUACAGGUCAUUCUAAGGAGUUUUGUGCCUAAAACACUUAAGGAUUAAGUGUUAGAAAGUACCCACUAGAACCACAGUGUAGCAAAACGAACCCUAACCUCAUCUAAGUGAGUUCACAGCCACAAGACCAUGAGUUUACGGCCGUAAACUCAUGGGGCCGUAAACUUAGGGGCAUAUAUAAGGCAAAUGGUCAUUUUAAGUCAUUUCUCUCAUUUCUUGGCCGGAUCUUCCUCAUUCUCUCUCAACUACCAGAACAACAAUCACCUUAGAUCUUCAAAAGAGUGAGUAUUCUAUCCCUUUAUUAGUUAAUACAUCUUAUUAACUAGCUCAUUACAUUGAUUUCAUCCAUGAAAAUCAUGUUUGUUUAGAUAGUCAAGAAACACCAAGAACACACAAUAGUGUCUUGGCCAAAUCGACUAGUUCAAGCUCCUAUAUCGUAAGCACUCUUCUUUUAACUUGUUGUACACUAGGUUACACAUGUUUAGACCUUAUAAUCAUCAUGAAAAAAAGGGUUAGAAGAGAGUUCACGGCCAAGGAUGUUCUUGGGCCGUGAACUCCCUUUUAUGGUGCAAAGAUGCCCCAAUAUCCUUCCUUAAGCCUAGAGACUAGCCUAGCACUUUACCUCGAUGUGUUUACGACUCAAGAUAAUCAAAAUGCCAUCACCCAUAGGUGAUUGCGGCCGCAAACACAUGUCAAAAUGGUCUAUGGGCCGAAAACUCAAUCUAGGGGUGUUUUGAUGCCACAAACACCUCCUAAGACUUAGACUUGAAGUUAGGAUGAUUCAAUAUGACUUUUAGGACCCUAAACAACCCUCAUAAACAUAAAUGUCCAUGAGUUUACGGUUGUAAACUCAUUAGGGACGUGAACACCUCAAAAGCUCCAAAGAAAGUGGUCUUCCUCAUCCUAGGGUAGAGCUAAGGUCCCUAAAUCAUCCCUAGCCUUCAAACUUGCACUUACACAUGAGUAGCCAUGAGUUUACGACCGUAAACUCCCUUGGGCCGUAAACCCAUGGUAGUAAACUCAUGUGAGUGCCAUUCUACCUGUAACAACCCGUUAUUUCCAGGCAUUAUAAACCGAGUCUUGUAACCCCUUUUGAAUGUAAUGGGAAUAUCAUCGAUAAAUGAAUUAUUCAAAAGCUCUGAUUUGGAAUACGCUAUGUGGUAGAUAUCAUCUUAAAGGUUCCAAAUAUAUAAAGAACGUCCAAAUCUGACUUCGCAUGAGGAAGUUAUGAUUUUUCAAAGAAAUUCCUUAAAAACGAUUAGUUAUAAAAUAAAUAAAAAAAAAUAAUAAUUUUGGAAUUUGCCAACGGAGUCUAAACGAAAGUUGUAGAUCGUAGUCUCACCUACGCGUGGAUAUAAAGACCAUCGAAAACGGAGUUCGUAUGAAGAAGAUAUGGAUUUUUGAAGUUUAUUAAAUAAAUUAAUUAUUUAUUUAAUUCAAAAUUCGGAUAUUAUCCGAAGAGGAGUCAGCGUCCUUCUCCGAAGUACGCGCUGCGUACUCCUGUACGCCCCGCGUAACCGAGAGGAUUGGCCUCGGAUCGUCCACGUCGCCAUAUCCGAGGAAGCCGACCCGUCCGACCCGUCCGACCCGACGUCCCAUCCGACCCGGCGUCCCAUCCGACCCACCUCCCCAGCAACCCGUCCCAUCCGACCCGAGAACCCAAGAACCCGUCCCAUCCGAACCGAGGCAGUCGAGGCUUCGGUCAUGCAUGACGUACGCGUACGCAGCGCGUACGAGCGUACGCCCCGCGUACCGAGGCAGACCAGCCUUCCUAUAAAUAGAAUGCGAGGGUUUCCAAAGAAAGUGUUCAUUUCUCUUCUCUCUCUCUCAGCAUUUCCUCGUUUUCCGUGUCCGUUCAAACCCGAAGCUCUGGUCUUUUUGGCUCAAGUCCCGAAGGCCGAUUCUACUCCCGAGAUUCCCGAGAAUCCCAAGAAAAAUCAGUUUCCCGAGACGAAACUCUGCUCGGUUUUCCACCUCACAAUCUUCAAACUAUCAAGUGAGUUCAUAUCCCCUUUGAACACUCUUUAAAUACAUUUUAAAUGUUUUAUACUCUUUUUGGGGAGGAAUACAAGUUAACACAUGACUAAAUUCGUGUGAAACAUUAACCUUUUGAUAUACUUUUCAUACUGUUGUUUUAACUAUCUUGUGAAGUUAUUAUGAUACAAAACCCCUCACAACACAGCUUUACCCUCUUU